ACCUGUCUCUCUGGUUCCCAACUUGCCCUUGGUAACGUUAACGAAGUCCGUGGGUUCGCGAAAAUGUCAGUUUUUUUUCGCUUGUAUCACCGUUUGUCGUCGUUGCCACUCUUCCUCGUGCGUUAAACAAUGAGAUGUCAGUAAACCAGUGCUUAAGCUCCGAUCUACGCGGCUGAGUUGGGCCGCAGCACUUUCGGCUGGCGUUCGUUUCCUCUAGGAGUUGUUUUCAUAAGGCUGCUGACCUAACCCUCGUCACCUGAUGGACGUGUGUCCCAGAUUAAGCAAGAGCUCCCACGCAGCCAGCUGGAGUGUCACCGCCUGUGCAGGUUGCAAGGUCAGCGCAGGAAAACGCAACCUGGUGUCAGGUCACAGAGCUUAGGCUCAGAAGCAGAAAGUUGUACGCCCGUCUUCACUUUACUACCGUAUGCAAGCUGAUUGGACAAUGUUGCCUGACCAGCCUGUUGCCGAAUAUCGCUGAUUUGUACCGCAUAAACCCGGUCGGACAUUCAGGGUGUUUCUCAGGGAUAAAAUGGCGUCUUUGCUGGCCAAAAGAGACAUGUGACGAUUGAAGCGUAGACGAAGAACGCUCUGUAAGCGUGUCUAGGGCAUUCUCGAGGACAGUGACGUAAGAGCACGCGUGCUCUACGGCCUGGCUAGAUAAGCUUAGGAGAGAGACAUAACACCAUAUUUAAUGAAAUUUAGAUUUAGAUAGCCGACGUUCAGGCGGCGGCUGACGGCUCCCUCUUCAGCUGUUCUCACUGCCCAGAGUUGGGUCUCCAGGCUGGCGUUGUGGAGGAUCUCGCCUUCUCAGGCGUGACGACAGCGUAACGAUGUCGUGCUUCGUGCCCGGCUGCAACUCCCGUUGCACCAAAGGACGAAAGCGUUCUUGUUCUUUCUUUCGGCCACCGGCCGAUCCCGAUCUGCUGCGUCAGUGGGAGUUGAACAUCGGGAGGACGGACAGGGCGCUCACUCGCACUGACACGGUGUGCUCGCUGCACUUCGAGAAGCGCUUCGUGUUCGACAGGUAUUACACCGAACACGCGGGAAACGUGCUGCUCAACGAGGGCAAGCUUCCGAGGCUCCGGAAAGACGCUGUGCCGACCAUUUUCGAAGAUCGGGGUGUUUCCAGUUGUGGCGGUGUGCAGCGGGAUGCGUCCGCGGUUUCUGCUUCGCAAUCGCCGCCAGGUGGACCUACUCCUUGGCGUUCUACCCAGCUGGCACAGGAUACGUCGAACGAAACUCAGUCAUCGGCCGAGACGAUGUCUCGGCUGAACACCGACGCUGACGUUCAAUACGGUGAACCUGAUGGACAUCGUGCCACCGUGAAGAGGGAAGACUGUUGUCCUUCUGAUGAAAGCCACUCUAGGAACACUGAACUCUGCGCCGAAGGGAUAAAGAUCGGUGACCUUUCCGAUGACCGGAAUGUCCGCGUCAAAGUGGAAAAGGAUGAGCGCUGUUCGGGUGUGCAGAAUCCGGAGGAGGUCGUCCGUGGGGAGGACAGGCCCCUGAUAAAACCCGUUUGUGACGUCGAUUCCGACGGCGCGCGCGUUGACUGUGGUGUCGAAGUGAAAAAGGAACCGGAGGAGUGCGUCGAUGAGCCUCAAGUGCCUCGCAUAGUGUGCGCAGUGGGUAGUUUCUACAACACGUCGACGACACCCGGAGUUGCCCAGCGUGUUCUCGCGAAACACCUGGUGCGCCACCCCGAGGUGGUGAAGCUUCCGUUCACCUGGAACUACCACAAGGUGAGCGCGCUCCAGUGGAACCGUGUCGUCUACAGCACCGUCGCCGUGGCGAGCGACGGCACGACUCCCGUCGUCACCAAGUUCGUCAACGUCACGACGAGUCGCGGCCACAAGGUCGAACCCGUCGAGCCGUUCGAGGCGUUCGUGUCGGACCGGAACCUGAACGUCACGUUAGGCGACCUCGCGAAGCCCACGACCAUCGAGGAGGUCGAGCGCAUGGUCGAGGCGGUAGACCGGCUGCCCACGUGCCGCGGCGGGCCGUCGAGGUACAAGUACCCGGACGUCGAUCCCAUGCACGCUCGCGUCGACGUGCUGGGCGUCUGGAGGCGCGUCGACUGCGAGGUGUACGGCACCACUCUGUGUCGUCACUGCGCGAAGCUGGAGCCCACCCUGCGCCAGAACGCGUGUCGGAAGCGCAAGAGCAAGAAGGAGCUCUCCAGGCUCCGGAUAUCGUGGGAGUCCCUGGAACCGGCGCAACGGUACAAGGUAGAGCUGCUCCAAAGGCGUAGGAGGGCCCUAGUCAAGAGGCUUCGGCGUCUCAAGGCUGGUGACAGGGAGCUCUGCGGCAAAGACGACGGGGACAGUGAAGACGACGACGACGACUCGGGAGAGAGCGAAAACGAACUGGAAUGCCCGGAGGCACAUUCGUAACAGGGCUGUGCCUUAAGAAAAUGCGCGUGUCCUGGUCUUCACGAGGAUUACUGUCAUAGGCGUGACCAGGAUUCUCCGUUAGGGGUAGGGGAGGAGGGCAAAUCUCACCGCAACCCCCUCCCCCUCCUCCUCUCCUUAGGCGCACGCACACGCUUAUUAGAGAGUUUUAGUGCUGGGCACCCAAGCGGCUUGCGUAUUCAAGACGUUGGGGCGGCGGUACUGCGCAUGCUCGAAGCUCCAAGAACAUGCGUUCCCGGGCCGCCGGGGCCAUGCGUGCGCGCGGCCAUGAACAACGCUGCCACCAUUGGCCUCCUAGUGGAGAUCAGCAGUCUCUAGCAGGACUCGUCCGCCUCGAAUCUAUUAAGUGGCCGUCGGGCGCUCCGUAGUUCGUCAGCUCCGAACCAAUGCUCUUAGUUGCUUUAGAUUAAUGUCGUGACGCUUGCACAGCAAAGUAUUUGUGUCGAUUCGGCACCAUUUUCGAGAGCCAUACUCAAAUUAUCGAUGCUGUAGGCUUAGCGAGAGGAUGGGCGCUCCCGGAAUAUCGGAGGACAUAGAUUACAUGUUUGUUAGUUUUCUUUUUUUCGUCCAUAGCUGGCGCCAAUUGACGUGGCGGCAGCUAUGGCACAUGCUAGGCCUUUGCGAUUGCGGAAAUACCGGACAGACUAUAGGACGCUAAUGAACCCGCACAGUUCACGAAAGUGAACGGUACACGGGAAAAGACGACGCCGAUCACCCGCCACUAGUUCUCCACGUGUAUGUCGUUGCCGGGCUACGGCACCGGCUGCAGUCGCAACUUCGACACGUGCAAAAAAAACAUUUUUUCUCUCGGGUUUAUUAGUUUGCCAUAUUAAUUAAGAAUAUUUUAUUGGAAUCAAUUAACUUCACGCCGUUAUCUAUACAAUCUACACAAAUAAAUCUAUACGCGACUAGAUGCUAAGGCGCUGCGAGCGCGUGUGACCAACGUGCGCCUUGCGGUUGGGUACGCGCCACUAUAAGGCAUUCCGCUUGAGGAACUCUUGGGUACGCAACGCCGCGCGCCCCCAAGCCCGCGGGAACCCAGCAAUAAAACUCUCUAUUGUGGUGAAGAUGAGCAACGCGUGCACAGAAGUACGGAAGUUCAGACAGGCAAUCGAAGGACAGAGGAAGUGGAAGAGUGACGUAGACGGUCGCUGUGUUGCUCACACUUUCGCUUCUUCAGUCCUUCCUUGGCUGUCUGUGCUUCCACACUUCUGUGCCUCGCGCUGCUCAUCUUCGCCACGAACGUAAUCCAACUCACCCACAUCGCCAUGCUUAUUGUGGCGCAACUGUAACAUACUGUCGCUGAAAUAGCCGCCACCAUAGAGCUAGUUGGGCAUUGACGCUUGUCCUCUGCUCUUGCGUGCGAAAGAGAGCAUCAAUUGAACUUUGCAUACUGUCGGGCUCUAGGUCACCUGCUACUCAGGUGACUCUCUAUUCCCGUGCAUUUUUUUUGUUCUUGAGUCAAUAGAGUGCCCGCCAAAUUGGCAAUGCUGCGCUGCAGUGUAAAAAAAUCAGCAGUUGUUCCUUGUACGAAUGCAAACGAUGAGCGAAGCUCCUUAGAAAUGGGACGCAAACCACCAUGUACGUUUUAAAACUGUUUGUUUGCACCGCGCGCCUUGUUUUUUGCGCAACGCGCGCGGAAUGCCGCGCGCGCCAUUUUUUUCUUUUGAGGGCCGCGCGCUUUCUGCUCCGGCGCCGGUAGGGGAGAGCGUCUGCUGCUACCUUCGACAAAGCGCCCGUAGUGCGCUACAAUGAUGGCUGUCAUUUGAGAAUCCACGAUAAAUGCGGUGAAAGUGAAGACUACUAUUAUAAGCAGUUGCGCACAGAGCUUAUUUCCUAAAUCUCGAAUUUGUGGUGCGCUAGAACCAAACCGCUCAAGGCCUAAGCAUUUUCCUCUUAAAUCACCGGCCACUUCAACCCAAAGCGAUGCUUAAGAGAAGGGAGCUUUGACGGCGACAGCGGAGUGCGGGCCUAAGCAGCUUCGCUCCUAAUAAAGCAUGGCAGAUUGCGCGGUACCGCUAUCGCAAUGCAGCACACCUUAUAAUCAAGUUCUGUACUCCGUUUCAUACAUCAGGUGCAACGCUGCGGAAGCUAUGCAAGAAGUUCGGUCAGCAAAGUGUGUAAGUCCGCGUGUCGCGCGCUUGGAAUAUCGUUGUCGUAAACGUGGCCUCUGCGAUUUGCUCCGGCUACGCGCUACCGGAACUGAUCGCGGAGUCCACGAAGCGAAAAUAAAGAUACCCUAAGCGAUCCGGAACAACACGCCGUAUAAAUAAGGGGGUUUGUUUAUUUCGAAGGCGCAAGACAUCAUUUAUUACUCGGUUCUAAAAACGAAAAAGAUCACAUUACGUGUGGUAAAAUAAUUGAACUAUUCCUUGGGGCGAACGCAUCUACUGCAAAAAGUCUCGCUACCUUCCAUAGAAUUGCACCUGAUGUAUGAAACGGAGUAUAAUAAACUAUAAAUAAAUUGUAAACUAUAAAAAUUUAUAUUAUCUAAUAGACGCGGUACAUGAUGCCUCUUGGAAACGACAGCUAUGCAUACAGCGCGGAUCUUACACCAAGGCGUACAAUAACUCUGCAGUCUCGUGCCUUGGGCAAUGCUCUCUAGGAGCCGCGUGUCAAGCGCGGCGCAGCCUAGCCAAGUGGUACCUGGUGGCCCAACUCGUCACUUUAGUGCGGCCACCUGUCUGGUCGUCAAGGCCGCAUGUGGAACUUCUGCUCUUUCAGCGGAAGAUGGGAACUAGGCACUGCUGUUUGCUUAUGUCCUUGAGAGUGCGUUCCUUAAAUUGAUGACGUGAUCGCAUUUCUGUAAUCUUUUAUUGCCACAGAAAAGGAAGCGGCAGCAUUCGCUUAGGUGCCGACGCUCGGGAAGACUUAAAACACGGCCUGCCUGAUUGUUCCCGUAAUGGCUUAGAGCGAAAGAUUCUGAAGACAGCACCACAUUUGCAACGCGACUUGAGCGUGGACGGAAUAGCUUUGAGCGUGAAAAGACGGGACACAAGAAGACAAGGCGACUACAUGAGCGUUACAGAGUGCUACAUGAGCGUUACAGAGUGCUACACGAGCGCUCUGUAACGCUCGUGUUGUCGUCUUCUGUCCCGUCUUUUUACGCUCAAAUCUAUUCCAGACUAGGAACCAACGCGCUCAGCAAAGCAUUUUAUUGACCUUGGACUCUGGGGCACCUCCUCGGCCCGUGACAAAGCAGCCUGAGCGAUGCGCAAUACAAAAACGCCGUUGGUGUUCUUGAGGACUACACACCUUAACGAAACUUUAUGAAUGACUCUUUUGUGUGUGAAUAUGCGUGCGCGUGACUGUACGUGUCACUUGUGUGUGUAUAUGUGAUCACUGCGUGUACCGUAGUCAACACAUGGCUUGCACCUAUGACGUCACUGCUCGGAGCGAGUCUGCCAUAUUGGUGAACAGCGGUUAAACCUUGUUCAGCGCUGCUUUGCCGCACCGGUGAGUUUCUUCCUCCACUAUGGUUAUAUGCGCAGUUGUAGGCGGCUAUAAUCGUAGCGACAGCUGCGGAUGAAAGAAGCAGCCCACUAGUAUGAGCCUCUUUCGAAUACCAAAGAUUAUUGAAGGCUUGUGCGAGCGCACGAAAAUGCUCAGCGCCAACCGUCGGAGGACCUGGCUGGCGCACAUAAGGCGUGCAAAUUUCGACGAAGAAAACUCCAACGUUCGUGUGUGUGGAGCGCACUUCGUAGUAGGCAAGCGAAAAAAUUGUCCGCGUAUCGGCGUGCUUCGCCUGCAAAUGUCAGUAAUGCGAAUGUAAGUAAUGCGAAGUAAUGUCUCCCUACCGUAAGCGCAUCACCAAGCCAAGCCUGCAAAUGUCGUCGAAUGUCGUCGUACGGCUGGUACGUACGGCUUUUCUCUUUGGCUCUUCACCGACAUGGCCGCCGCCGUAGGACCGCAUCAACAAUGACGUCACGUGCAAGGCAUGUACAUCAACAGCCGACACCUGGAGUAGCAAGCCAGGCGAUUAACCAGGCUAACAUCUCGGGUAAUUCUUAAAAAAAAAUGUUAUCCAUCAAAAUAAAGGGUCCCACUUUCUUCUCAGCCAUUACAGGAAAAUUUGUUUCCGUGGUGGGUAUGUGCGUUUGCUGUUGAUGAGAUAUUUCUGAAUGAACUUUUGAGCAGCUGGUCACUGAAAUGCUUUUAUUUCAAUCCAUCCAUCUAUUACUACGGAGGCUGCAGCGUUGUGAGAAAGAAACGCUCUCCGUCAGAUGCCGCGUUCUGCUGACAGCUGGCGCUCAUGACUUCGUACGUAGCGAGAACAGGUGGAACUUUCAAAGUGACAUAUGGGCGUCUCAGAUGCAGCUUCUCGUACGAAAUGAAAAGGGCCCUUUCACAGUUUAUGAGCACAGCCUUUGGACGGCUUCCGGUUUUGUCCAUCGACGUAGCCUCCUAACACUAGUGUCAAAGAAAAUCCUUGGCGUGUAGCCGGCAGAUUUUGAACAUUUUUUUCCUCGUGUUUAGCCAGAUAUUUCAAAUAAAUAUUCUUCUAAGCUGUACACACGAUCAUAACAGGUACCCUUUAGUUGUUAUACGCCUUCCUUUUAUCUGAAAACGUAACAUAAGACGCUUUCCUGAAUCGACACCUCAAAAACACGCUUUCCGCUUAUCGGUACUGAUAAAAGAAGGAACAGGAAAACAACACUUGCUGCUACUAUCGCAGUCUUGAAACCCUAUACGUCUGUUACACCACUGCCGUUCAAGUAUUCAUUAGUAUGCAGCAGGGCUGGGCAGUAUCGCGAUACAAGAGUAUCGCGAUAGUAUUUCAGAGAUACUUUUGAGUAUCUGUAUUUCUGUAUCGAGAUACAUUUGAAAAAUGUAUUUGUAUCUCAGUAGUGAAAUACUUUUACGAUGUAUCGCUUGUAUCGCGAUACAAUGCAGGACACGGGUAU